UCCUUGGUGGUUCAAUGGUUAAGGCUCUGCACUUCCACUGCAGAGGGCUCAGGUUCGAUUCCUGGUCAGGAAA
rnacentral:tRNA from 1 species